rnacentral:rRNA from 1 species
UACGUAGGGUGCAAGCGUUAAUCGGAAUUACUGGGCGUAAAGCGUGCGCAGGCGGCUUUGCAAGACAGGUGUGAAAGCCCCGAGCUUAACUUGGGAAUUGCGCUUGUGACUGGCGUGCUGGAGUGUGGCAGAGGGAGGUGGAAUUCCACGUGUAGCAGUGAAAUGCGUAGAUAUGCGGAGGAACACCGAUGGCGAAGGCAAUCCCCUGGGCCUGCACUGACGCUCAUGCACGAAAGCGUGGGGAGCAAACAGG